UACAGAGGUCUCAAGCGUUGUUCGGAUUCAUUGGGCGUAAAGGGUGCGUAGGCGGUCUGUCGCGUCGGAUGUGAAAAUCCAGGGCUCAACCCUGGACCUGCAUUCGAUACGGGCAGACUAGAGUUCGGCAGGGGAGACUGGAAUUCCUGGUGUAGCGGUGAAAUGCGCAGAUAUCAGGAGGAACACCGGUGGCGAAGGCGGGUCUCUGGGCCGAUACUGACGCUGAGGAGCGAAAGCGUGGGGAGCGAACAGG
rnacentral:rRNA from 1 species